rnacentral:SRP_RNA from 2 species
GGUCGGGUCUUGUGCGGCAUAUGCUUGCCAACUCCGCCAGGAUUGAAAGAUAGCAACGGUACGCUUGCCUCUGUGGGUGUCACAGGGUUGCCUGGCCCAU